AGUGGAUGGGGAGCAACCUAGUUGUGCGUGUGUAAAGGUAGUGCCAAGAAAAGCGAUGAUCAUGUUGAAAAUCAAUUCCCGGUACCCGAAACCGACACGGGUGGGCAAGUAGAGAAUACUAAGGGGCGCGAGGUAACUCUCUCCAAGGAACUCGGCAAAAUGACCCCGUAACUUAGGGAGAAGGGGUGCCACCGAGAGGUGGUCGCAGUGAAGAGGCCCAGGCGACUGUUUAGCAAAAACAUAGGUCUCUGCAAACUCGAAAGAGGAGGUAUAGGGGCUGACGCCUGCCCAGUGCCGGAAGGUUAAAGAAGUUGGUCAGUCUUAGGAUGAAGCUAGCGACUGAAGCCCCGGUGAACGGCGGCCGUAACUAUAACGGUCCUAAGGUAGCGAAAUUCCUUGUCGGGUAAGUUCCGACCCGCACGAAAGGCGUAACGAUCUGGGCGCUGUCUCGGAGGGAGGCUCGGCGAAAUAGGAUUGUCUGUGAAGAUACGGACCACCUGCAUUUGGACAGAAAGACCCUAUGAAGCUUUACUAUAGCUUGGAAUUGUGUUCGGGCUUCCUGUGCGCAGGAUAGGUGGGAGGCGUAGAAGGUAUUCUUGUGGGGAUACUGGAGCCAACGGUGAGAUACCACUCUCAGGAGGCUAGAAUUCUAACUUAAUUAAGGACAGUUUCAGGUGGGUAGUUUGACUGGGGCGGUCGCCUCCAAAAAGGUAACGGAGGCGUACAAAGGUUCCCUCAGACUGGUUGGAAAUCAGUCGAAGAGUGCAAAGGCAGAAGGGAGCUUGACUGCGAGAAGUACAGUUCGAGCAGGGUGGAAACACGGUCUUAGUGAUCCGACGGUGCUGUGUGGAAGGGCCGUCGCUCAACGGAUAAAAGUUACUCUAGGAUAACAGGCUGAUCUCCCCCAAGAGUUCACAUCGACGGGGAGGUUUGGCACCUCGAUGUCGGCUCAUCGCAACCUGGGGCGGAAGUACGUCCCAAGGGUUGGGCUGUUCGCCCAUUAAAGCGGUACGUGAGCUGGGUUCAGAACGUCGUGAGACAGUUCGGUCCAUAUCCGAUGUAGGCGUGAGAAUAUUGAGAGGAGCCUUCCUUAGUACGAGAGGACCGGGAAGGACGCACCGCUGGUGUACCUGUUAUGAUGCCAAUUGUAAACGCAGGGUAGCCAAGUGCGGAGAGGAUAACCGCUGAAAGCAUCUAAGUGGGAAGCCCACCUCAAGAUGAGUAUUCUGGUGUAAGGUCACGGGAAGACGACCCGUAAAUAGGCACGAGGUGGAAGUGCAGAGAUGUAUGAAGCCGAAGUGUACUAAUAGACCGUCGGCUUGA
rnacentral:rRNA from 1 species